rnacentral:rRNA from 1 species
GUGGGGAAUAUUCCGCAAUGGACGAAAGUCUGACGGAGCAACGCCGCGUGAGUGAUGAAGGUUUUCGGACUGUAAAGCUCUGUUGUUUGGGACGAAAGUGCCUGUUGCGAACAGUUACGGGUAUUGACGGUACUAAACGAGGAAGCCACGGCUAACUACGUGCCAGCAGCCGCGGUAAUACGUAGGUGACAAGCGUUGUCCGGAAUUAUUGGGCGUAAAGAGCAUGUAGGCGGGAAUCUAAGUCUGUUGUUAAAAUGCGGGGCUCAACCCCGUAUUGCGAUGGAAACUGGGUUUCUUGAGUGCAGGAGAGGAAAGGGGAAUUCCCAGUGUAGCGGUGAAAUGCGUAGAUAUUGGGAGGAACACCAGUGGCGAAGGCGCCUUUCUGGACUGUGUCUGACGCUGAGAUGCGAAAGCCAGGGUAGCGAACGGGAUUAGAAACCCUUGUAGUCC